GGUCAGUAGGUUGGUCGUGCCACCGGUACGUACUGGUCUCACUGAUUCCUCCUUCCUGAAUAACCGUAAUGCCAUUAAUUUGGUGUUGCGGGGAAACAGGACUGUUACUUUGAAAAAAUUAGAGUGUUUAAAGCAAGCUAACGCUUGAAUACAUUAGCAUGGAAUAAUGAAAUAGGACGAUCGAUCCUAUUUUGUUGGUUUCUAGGAUUGACGUA
rnacentral:rRNA from 1 species